rnacentral:lncRNA from 1 species
CUUUUUUUUUUUUUUUUUUGGCUUUUUAGGGCUGCGCUUGAAGUAUAUGGAGAUUCCCAGGCUAGGGGUGGAAUCGGAGCUGUAGCCACCGGCCUACGCCAGAGCCACAGCAACACGGGAUCCAAGGCAUGUCUGCGACCCACACCACAGCUCAUGGCAACACCGGAUCCUUAAUCCGCUGAGCGAGGCCAGGGACUGAACCCGCAACCUCAUGGUUCCUAGUCGGAUUUGUUAACCACUGAGCCACGGCGGGAACUCCUGUAACUAUCUCUUUGUUUCUUAGAAAUGUGUUGUCAAGUGGAAGGAAGCUGACAAAUGAAUGGGUACCAGAAGGAUGACAUUGUCAGCUUGCAGCAAGGAUCCAUCAAGAAUCAUUUAGGCAGUCCAGUAUCACGGGUCGCUUCAACUCCAUCCCUUAAUACUGAACUUACACUGGGGGAGUAAAGCAUACCCUAAGUCCCAGGGAUGAAACUAUCAAUUUGAAGUUCCUAUAAAAUAAGUGGUGACUCUCACCUGAGAUACAGACACACAGUUUCCCAAAAUGAAUGCUUCCCACAGUGAUGACUCUCAUGGUAAUUCACUGGGAGAUAAGCAGGUAAUUGUUGAGACUUGCUAAUGUGUGUGGGAGACAUUUCUGCACCGAACAAUGAUGUCUCCUGACUCUUGAGAACCCAUGAUUAUAUUAAGCAUUUGAACUCUAUUUGAAAUAUCCUGAUAAUGGAUAUUCACAGCUACAUGCGCCUUGUGUUUUGUUUAUUUAAAAGCUCCUUGAUCUAGGAGAAAAAAGGUAUGCACUAGACUAGGUGUUGGGUGGACUUUUUUCCCCUUGCAGUAUUUUCCUUAUUGUUUGCAACAGCACAAAUUUGGAGUGUGAACCAGUAUUUAUGGACAAAAUGUAUUUAUACUUUAUUCUUUCGAAGUCGUUUUUGUGAUUGUUAGCAGAACAAAGGAUAGCUGUAAACCUGAGAGCAUUUUUGUGUGUGAUGUUUUUGGUGAAUUUAACUAGCUGCUAAUGGGGCUCAGGUUGUCUUAGAUCUUGUAUCUGGAUGAAACCUGGCACAUAAAAUUGUCAGCCCUGGAGCAAAUCUUCCUUUCUUCCCUUGGUUUUAUUUAGUUCUUUCCAGUUGUUUUCCAUUGGUGGCUUAUUAGUGGUUGUGGUUUAGCAAAAAUAACUGGAGACUGUAAGCUAAGAGUUGGUAAUGGUAUCAGGAUGUGGCUGCUUCUCCUGGACCAGAAAUCAUGUUGAAACUCAUUUUUUUUUUUGCAGGCCCCCCCCCCCCCCCCCGCCGCCCCUGCCACAUCUAAGUGUACCUGGCAUUUGGCCUAAUGAUGAUGGAGUGAGAAUUUGGAGUGUUUAUGAGGACAGUUGGCUUUUAAUUAUCCAGGAGCUGUGUUCUUUUCUAUCUGUCUCUCCUUCCUGGCUGUGUGAAGCCACGGGGCCCUUCCUAGGGGAUGAGGUGGGAGGAGUAAUUUGCACUCGCCACUGAGACCCAGGGCUUGUCGUGGGCAGCAGGGCAGAAAAUGUUUAGAUUUUUGACCACUAUGAGAUGUUGGAUUCCAUUCAGAAUUCAGUGAUCUGUGCAAUUCUGAUACCACUCUUGGAAGACUGUGAGUUGGCUUUGGUUUUGCUAUCAGAUGAUGUUAGCAUUGGCAAAAAUUGUCCUGGUAUACGCUGGGGAUAUUAUGUAGUCCAAAGCCAAAUCUUAAGAGGGGCUGGUGACUUGGAAAUUAUGCUGCUUGAGGCAGUGUUAUUUUGCUGAAUAUACAAGUUAAACAAGAACAUGCUGAAAUUCAAAGGGUGAGCCGCAUUUUAGAGAGAUGCCUAGGCUCAAAAUGCCAUUUUGACCACAAAUUUCAAAACAGGGUUGGACUUUUUAAGUGGAAUUUCCAAGAAUUGCUUCAUCUUACUUUUACAUUCCUAGUGCCGGCAUCAUGUCAGGUAUGCACAUAGCAGUUGUCAUUACAUGAUUUUUUAUUUUUUAAAUUAAAAAAUUUUAAAUUAUUUAUUUAUUUGUCUUUUUAGGACAAUAUCUCGGCAAAUGGGGGUUCCCAGACUAGGGGUCAAAUUGGAGCUGUAGCUGCCGGCCUACACCACAGCAGCUCGGGAUCCGAGCCAUGUUUGUGAGCUAUACCACAGCUCACGGCAAUGCUGGAUCCUUAACUCACUGAGUGAGGCUGAGGAUCGAACCUGCGUCCUCAUGGAUACUAGUCAGGUUUGUUUCCCUGAGCCACUACAGGAACUCCCACAUGAUUUCUUAAAUAAAUGAGUAGCUUAAUACUUUCUUAGUAUCUUAGUUAAGAGUAAUAAAGAUAAUUUAUUUUAUUCAUUAUUUAAAAAUAUUUUUUAUUGGAGUGUAGUUGAUAUACAAGGUUGUGUUAGUUUCAUGUGUACAGUAAUUUCAGUUAUACAUGUACUUACAUCCAUUCUUAUUCAGAUUCUUUACCCAUAUAGGUUAUUACAGAAUCUUUUUUAUUUUAUUUAAUUUUUUAAUUUUUUUACUUUUUGUGUUUUCAGGGCUGCACCUGUGGCAUAUGGAGGUUCCCAGGGUAGGGGUCUAAUUGGAGCUGUAGCUGCUGGCCUAUGCCAGAGCCACAGCAAUGCCAGAUCUGAGCCAAAUCUGUGACCUACACCACAGCUCAUGGCAGUGCCAGAUCCUCAACCCACUGAGCGAGGCCAGGGAUCGAACCCGCAACCUCAUGGUUCCUAAUCAGAUUUGUUAACCACUGCACCACAACGGGAACUCCUAUUACGGAAUCUUAAGUUGAGUUUCUUAUGCUAUACAGAAGGUCUUUGUUGGCUGUUUUAUGUAUAGUAGUGCAUGUUUAUUUAUACAAACCUCCUAAUAUAUCUCUCCCCCCCUUCCCCCUUUGGUAACCAAGGAAAGAUAAUUGAAAAGGAAAGUUGAAUUCUAAUAUAUUCCUUAGUCUGGAAGAAAUUGACGUAACAAAUCAGUAUGAAAAGCUCUUCACCCUGAGGUUUUCAUCUGAGAAUAUUCCCUCUUGAUGAGCUGCAUCUCUGGAGUGACGUGUUUCUGUGGACUCCCGUAUGUGUUUGUUCUUGGGCUGUUGACAAAACCAGGGUCGGUGAUUUUGGGAUUAGAGGCAGGCUCUUCCUCGGAGACACAACCAAUCCCCACUCCUCCCAUACCCAUGAAAUUUAGCCAUUGGUUUUGCCUUUUUAUUUUAUUUUAUUUUUCUGGUCUUGUUCUUCCUUGCUUAAAAUGUUUGUGGUGCAGAUAUUCAUAGGAAGAGUAAUUAGAUUUAACAUAAAGGAUGAGUAUGUGUAUGCUGUAUCUCAGCCAAUGAGAAGUUGGGUAAGGCAGUCCUGCCCUGGAGAGUAGGCAGAGUAGGCUGGGAUGGAGCGGGGAGGUUCUGAAUUACGUCGUAAAGGUCACGCAGUGUUUUCAUAGACUUUCUCAUUGGAUGUUCCCUGCCUGUUAGGUAGGGACUGACCUCGGUCUUAACGCAAGCAGCUGUGUUGUAACUCGGUUUCCUGCGUCAGAAUGGGGUAAGAGUGUCUACCGCAUAGGGAUGCUGUGGAGAUGCAGGGAGAUGGUGCCCGAAGGAAACCGUGAGUGUUGGUUGUCCUAAUCCUGGGGCCUCUUUGAUAGCUGAGGAGACUGAAGCCUGGGGGAAUUAGAAGACUUAACCCUCAUUGUGCAAAGGUGUCUCAGGCCCCCAUUCAGCUUCUCUGACCCCCAGUUUUUAUCAGGAUAGCUGGCUUCUCUAAAACUGUGCAUUACCUUUUCAAUAAUUUUGAUCUGGAAAGAGCUAGGAGGGCGACAUUUUCUUCUAUGUAAAUUAUAUUUAGUUUUUACCUAAUUGUCUUGACUGGGUAUCAAAAUCCUUGCAUUUCUAGGAUUUUAGCAUGUGUGACCAGUGGGAUCUGUCAAAAUGAUUGAAUCGUAGAUAAUGUGUACAUUUCAUGGAAUUCAUUAUAAAAAUUGGACCUGUUUUGUGGCGUCAUGGGGAUUGUGUAAUGAUUGCUUCAAAAAUGAAGUUUAAGAAGAGAGAAGGGUCUUUUAAAUUCUUUGGCAGCUUGCUUGCUUAUUUAUUUAUUUAUUUGUUUUCUUGGCCACCCAUAGCAUCUGAAAGUUCCCUGGCCAGGGAUUGAGCCUGCACCACUGCAGUAACCAUUUAACGGUGUUGUGAUGAUUGUUGUACACCUAUAAAUGUAAUAAAAUUCAUUAAGUAAUUAAAAAAAUUGACUAUGGAGCAGUGACAAGACCAGGUCCUUAACCCACUGAGCCACAAGGGAACUCCUUUGACAGCUUUUUAGAGGCUGACUGAAAACAUGGUAGCUUCUUGAUGUGUGACAGCGUGGGGCUUCUCUCUGUGGAAACCACACCCUGCAACGGCUCUCUCAUAGGAAGGUGGACACUAGGUUAUGUUCCUGAAUGGAAAAAUUAAGGCAGACCUGUUAUUUAAAGAAUUGUUUCAUUAUGUGGUUCCUAUGUUCCAUAGUGGUUUCUGAUGUUCAGUGUACCUUGUGUUAUUAUUUUCUUUUUGGCAUGACUUAUGUUGAAGUUAUUGGCAUGGUGAUGAUCGUACUGUGUAUCUUAAAUAUUCUGGGAUAGUAGCUCAUCACUCAAUUGGUAAGCAACUUAAUUUGGAAUCAGCUAUGAGCCCGAUUGAAGCUCACUGCCUAGUUUCUGUCAGCAAAGAUCCCUUCCCCUCCUUUAUUUAUUUAUUUAUUUAUAUAUUUUUAGGGCCGCCCCUGUGGCACAUGGAGGUUCCCAGGCUAAGGGUUGAAUCGGAGCUGUAGCUGCUGGCCCACACCACAGCCACAGCAACACAGGAUUUGAGCCGUGUCUGCGACCCACACCACAGCUCAUGGCAACGCCAGAUCCUUAACCCACUGAGUGAGGCCAGGGAUUGAACCUGCAUCCUCAUGGAUACUAGUUGGGUUCGUUAACCACUGAGCCAUGAUGUGAACUCCCUUUCCCCUCUUUUAAACAAGCUCAAAUGAACACUGCAUUUUUGCAUUGAGAUUCACACAAAAAUAUGUUAGACCGUGCUUUGGGGUUUCUUUGAAAUGGCUGCUCAAAGGGAUUUGAGAAAUUUAAAUGAGGUGGAUGCCUGCUUGCAUUAGUGUUUUGCUGAUACUCAGUCUGAUAUGAAGAAUUUUUUGAGAAGCUCCCAGAAUGUUUGGGAUUUAAGUCAUGUGGAUUAUGCGGUCAGAAUUGGAACCCAGAGGUGAAGUUUUAGAGAAAUUUGGUGCAUAUAUUGGCAGGAAAUCUCAUCCAGCGAGAGGAUGAAAACAAAACUGCAAGCAAAACAGUAACGUGUGUGAAGAUAAUUCCCAUCGGUUUAUUAAAUUAAUACAUUUCACAGCAAAAGCAAUGGCCUUUUUUUUUUUUUUUUUUGGGAAAUCUGUGAACUUGUCACUUACUGCGGGUGUGUUAGGCUGGUAGGUAUUUUCUUCCACAACACAUGCCCUUUAAAAACUUCCUAUCAAGGGCUUUCUUUGGAGGCUGCAGGUGGUAAGACAGGUUUGGCAGCCGUGUUUGUGCAGAGCGUUUCUGGCUCGCUGCUCCACCUUGAACAUGCUCAGGGAGAGUGAUUCUAAUACCUUCCCAGGAAGUAUGUUGCCUGAGAGCCCCACGCUUGGCCAGUCUCUUAGCUCCUCUUCAACAGGCUGGCUGCUCCGCACAUGGGGACACAACAGCUGGAAGCACUGGCCUUGAUGAUAAUGUGUAGGUUUUUUUUUUUUCUUUUUUUUUUUUGAGAAGUCAAAUGUUUUCACACAUCCUUUAUGUGUCGUGAACUAGAUAUGGCAAAUACUCCUUUCCCUUUGAAAAAUCAGGGGACUUUGCAGCACUUUAUACAAUAGCCAAGGAAUGGAGGCAACCUAAAUGCCCAUGGACAGAGGAGUGGAUAAAGAUGAUGUAUAUAUACACAAUGGACUAUUACUCAGCCAGAAAAAGGAAUGAAAUAGUGGCAUUUGCAGCAACAUGGGUGGACCUGGAAAUUAUCAUGCUAGGUGAAGUCAGAGAGUGAGAUACCAACAUCAUAUGCUAUCACUUAUAUGUGGAAUCUUAAAAAAAGGAUACAAUGAUCUUAGUUAUAGAACAGAAAUUGACUCACAGACUUUGAAGAGCUCAUGAUUUACCAAAGGAGACAGGUUGGGGUGGGGAGGGAUGGGCUGGGGGUUUGGGAUGGAAAUGCUGUAAAACUGGGUCGUGAUGACAGUUGUACACCUAUACAUACAAUACAAUUCAUUGAGUUAAAAAAAUAAAAUCUCCAAAAAAAAAAAAAAAAAA